UACAGAGGGGGCAAGCGUUGUUCGGAAUUACUGGGCGUAAAGGGCGCGUAGGCGGCCGAUCUCGUCAGACGUGAAAUCCCCCGGCUCAACCGGGGAACUGCGUCUGAUACUCGUCGGCUCGAAUCCGGGAGAGGGAUGUGGAAUUCCAGGUGUAGCGGUGAAAUGCGUAGAUAUCUGGAGGAACACCGGUGGCGAAGGCGGCAUCCUGGACCGGUAUUGACGCUGAGGCGCGAAAGCCAGGGGAGCAAAC
rnacentral:rRNA from 1 species